rnacentral:misc_RNA from 1 species
UUUUAUUUAAACAGAUAGUCAGCAAAUAUAGAUAACUAAGAAACAUCUUUAGAGGAG